GUACUACAGGCUAAAAAUGAAGAGGUUUUGACAGUGGCACACAGAGAAAAGGAUAUUUAAAAUUGAUUGGCAAAAUGAUUUCUUUUUUUUUUACAAAAAGCCUUGGAAAAUAAAACUGCAUUAGUUAUGCAUAAACAGAGUAAUGUUUGCUUAUUUAUUUUUUAAAUAUUAGAAAAUUAUAAAUUAGGGGUUAUCAGAGCAACUUUAAUUUUAAUAUAACACAACAACAUUUACUUUUGGCCCACGGCCCUCAGUCAGGUUUGGCCCUUGUAAGGAAAAUGUUCGGGCCCCAAUCAAUGUGUAGUCUAUCUGAGGAGGUAACUUUUAGCAUAUGAUAAUGCAUGCUUGUACAAAGUCAGUCCACAUAUUAUAAUGUUUGUCUUCAAUCAAUCAAUUUAAAUAAAAGAGAUGGGGACUUUAUAAUAUAAUAAGGGUCCAUAUAUCACAUUGAUAAAAGACAUACAUGUAUUUUUACUUUAACAUGAACUAAUGCUGAGUUAAGGCAUAUACUAUCAUAAACUAAUGAAGAGUCAUCAUUCACAUGACAUGUUUUUCAUUGUUAGUUAAUGCAUUCAUUUACAAUAAAUUAAUUUGAGUUCAUGUUGUAAUUAAGUAAGUUCAGUAUGUUACAUGUCUUAACUCAGCAUUAGUUUAUAUUUACUUAUAUUUAAGUAAGAAUUCAUUUAGGUAUACGUUCAAUGUUUCCAAUGAUGAGCAGUUAAUCAACUAAACCCAGAGAUAAUUCCUGAGGCAUGUUUAAAGAGUUCGUAUUUCAUCAAGUAAGUGCUGAUUCACAAAGAUUUUAUAUUUAAGAAAAUCUGAGCAUCAUUCAAAAUAACUGUUAACAUGUUUGUCAACUAAACAUGUUUUGUCAACGUUAUAAACUUUAUAGAUAUAUUUUUUAUUUUUUAUUAAUGACCAAGUAUAAAGAACAAUGCAUAGUGUGAAAACGCGGAUUAUAUAAAAGUAUAUAAUAAAGUGCGAGCAGACAGCAGAGGAUCAAUCAAACUUGGGCUGGAAUGAUUGUAGUGCAUCCAAUCUUGGAAAUCGUAGUUUACAUCUACAGCAGCAUAUGCUACAGCAGUGACAACGCCAAAGAAAAGGACUACAUUUCCCAGAAUGCACCUGCACCCACUCAUCUGCCCCACCCUUCAGGUGCGACUGCUUCACCUAUGGGCUCGACGGGAAAAUUCAAAAUCGCGAACCGUUACAGCCUGGACUACUCUUUGUUUGCUUGCACAUCAACAGUUAAGAGGUCAUGUACACUGUGGUCAACUUUGUGGACGCUGAAGAGGUUUCUGGGUAAAGAUGAUAGAAAUAUAAUGAAGUAACAGUGGAAGCUAAAACAUCAGACUGAUCUAGACACUGAAGAAAUUGAUGUCACUGCAAUCUGGCCAAAAUGAUACAACUAUAUUGAAGUAGCCUACUGUAAUGAAGCUGCAGAACGUCACAGAGACUCUGAGGACAUCAACACAGAAAAUCUAGGCUCCAAAGAGAUGUCUGUCCAGAUGAGGGUGCAUCAACGUUACCUUUGCUGACAAGUAUAUGCUUUACAAUGUAAAACCUAACAGUUAACUUAACUCAAACCAUUUAAGGAAAUCUGUUGCCUUAAACCAUUAAGUUUUAAAAAGAUACAUUUGAGUACUGUGAACUUAAGUCUUGUGCAAUCUUGAACUUAUAUUUAGGUAGUGUGACUGUGUGAACUUAAAUAUAAGUGCUUAACUGCAUGUGACUCAGUUUGAGGCUGUUUACACUUGGCAUUAACAUGUGUUUUCGUCGAUCGGAUCACAAGUGGACGACGUUAAUGCCAGGUGUAAACGGUGUUCAAAACGUUUUGAGCUCGUCCACUUUCGACCACUUUCAACCACAUCCAGAGGUGGUCGAAACCACUUUCGAUCGGAUCGCUUUGGAGUUGCGGAACGCACAUGUGGUUGAAUGCGUUCGAACAGCCACAAGCGACCGCCUUCUCUCCGCCCAUUUAUCUAAUCUGAGGUAUUAAACACAAGUUUUACGUCUUUUUUGACUUCUGGCGUGAACAUUCGGUGAACAGCGCUAUUUUUAGCCUUUCAUUGAUAAAACUAAGCGGCUGAUCUCCGUAGUUUCGUUUUGAAAGCGUGUGAAAGUUGCGCGAUCCUAUUUCAUCAAUUGCGCUGAAGAUUCAAAGAAAGCUCUUACAUACUCAUGUACAAAACACUGUGCAGCAUGUUUACUUGCUAAACAAGCAGUGCACUCCGACAUAAUAUUAUUUUGCGUCCAUAUAAACUCAUAAUUACUCCCACUCGGGUUUGAUUGACAGCAGAGAGACUCGCCCACCGUCUCACAGACCACCCCCUCAUAGUAUUCAGCACAGAAGCGGUCGAAAGUGGACAAAAGAGACGGAUUUAAAUACCAGGUGUAAACGUAAUGUGUCUCUCUCGUCCACUUGUGAUCCGAUCGAUGAAAACACAUCUUAAUACCAAGUGUAAACAGCCCCUUUGUUUAAGUUCACAGUACUCAAAUCUAUGUGUUUUAAAACUUGAAUGGUUUAAUGCAACCGGUUUUCUUAAAUGUGAGAAAUUACAGUGUUACAGUGAGAAAUGUUUGAAUAAUUCCAAGACAGAGCUCUGUGAUUGAUUCUACACUGCAAAAAAUCACUUUCUAACACUUUUUAUCUUGUUUUCAGUAGAAAAACGAAAUAUUCUUAAAUCAAGAUGUAUUUUCUUGAUGAGCAAAAUUACCUUAGAAAAUAUGUCUAGUUUUUAGACAAAAAUAUACAAUUUAAGAUAAUUUGUGGCUAAACAAAAAAAAAUCUAACAAUGGGGUGAGAAAAUUGUGUUUUAAUUAAGUUUUUAAGAAAAAAGAAAACUUAAGAUUUUUUUCUCACACUAUUGGCAGAUAUUUUUGAUUGUUUUAAGCUCAAAUUCACUUAAUGUGUGUGUGUAUUUUAUUUAUUUAUUUAGUCUAAAACUAGACUUAUUUUCUUGGGUCAUUUUGUUCCUCAAGAAAAAGCAUUUUAAUUUAAAUAGUAUUUUUGUCUUGUUUUCAGUAGAAAUAUUAUGUAAGAAAGUCAUUUUUUGCAGUGUAGGACUGAUUUCUUAAGAGCAAGAUCAAUAUAGUUGUUGUUCAUUUUAUUUAGAUAUUUACUACAUUACAGUGGCAGCUGGUGACUUCUUUUUUUGUGAGCACUCGAUGCGAAGUUUGUCAUAACAUGUGCCCGUCAUUUGUGUGGUUCCCAAUUUCAAAAUAUGUGUUCUGCGUGUCGAGUGCGUGUAUGUGCAUCGUGUGUUUUGACUAAACACGUGAUGCACGUGGUUUACAUGAAGCAACAAACACAUAUUUUAAAAACACAAGCAACACACAUGACACUCCGAACACUUAUUUUGAAUUUGCAACCCUCGGAUGAGCAGUCACGAGCCGCCACUGCUACAUUACAUUGUACUGCUUUGAAUGUAGUUUUCAUUGUUGCUUUUAUUUUGUUUUAUUUUACUCUAAUAUUGCUUUCUCUGUCUGUAUAUUUAUGAGUUUAAAUGGUAUUGUUUAUGUAUGCAGCUUUUAAUAUUUGUGUAUUAUAUUAUUUUGUGAUUGUGACAAUUGUGGAUUGUUCAGUUUUUUAUUAAAUAAACAUUUCAAACUCAA